rnacentral:rRNA from 1 species
GAUGAACGCUGGCGGCGUGCCUAAUACAUGCAAGUCGAGCGAACGGACGAGAAGCUUGCUUCUCUGAUGUUAGCGGCGGAAGGGUGAGUAACACGUGGAUAACCUACCUAUAAGACUGGGAUCACUUCGGGAAACCGGAGCUAAUACCGGAUAAUAUUUUGAACCGCAUGGUUCAAAAGUGAAAGACGGUCUUGCUGUCACUUAUAGAUGGAUCCGCGCUGCAUUAGCUAGUUGGUAAGGUAACGGCUUACCAAGGCAACGAUGCAUAGCCGACCUGAGAGGGUGAUCGGCCACACUGGAACUGAGACACGGUCCAGACUCCUACGGGAGGCAGCAGUAGGGAAUCUUCCGCAAUGGGCGAAAGCCUGACGGAGCAACGCCGCGUGAGUGAUGAAGGUCUUCGGAUCGUAAAACUCUGUUAUUAGGGAAGAACAUAUGUGUAAGUAACUGUGCACAUCUUGACGGUACCUAAUCAGAAAGCCACGGCUAACUACGUG